UAGCCCUGAAUGUAGUCCACAAAAGAGAGAAAGGUAACAAUAUUUUAAAAUAGCAAUUGUAGUAUGCCAGUCAUUUUAUAUAACUGAAACUAUUAUCAUUAUGUGAAAUUUAGUUUUACUAUGGACAGCCCAUUAAAGGAUAAGGACGAAGAAACAACAAGCAGUGAUGAUAGCGACAGAGAGGACAGUGAAGACAGUGAUGGAUACCAGAGCCAUGAGGAAAUCGACUUCUUCAAGGAGGACCCACUUCUUCCGAUUUAGAGAAAAUGAUUUACUUCUGGCAUGCCUUCAAAAGAAGUGGUAACCUUUCUCUUAACUCCUAAUGAGGACCUUGUUGGACACACAGUUCCAAGUGGCGUCAACAGAAAUGCAUGUUUUGUUGUUGACACAUCAUCAAGAUAUGUUGGCCASUUGAAYAAUGUGUUAGCUGAUGAUCUUGGAGCAUGGCAUCCUACUGGCACCAAACAGCUCUAUUAUCAAGGACCGUKAAAAAGGCAUCSAACGAAAAAAAUAAGCGAAAUGGAAUACCAAACAUCUUCAAAUGGACGAGCCUACCGCUGUACAAGAAAUUUCUUUCGCAACAAGUCAUCGCCAGAUUUACAAAGGAUUGUUAUUUAUUUAACAGGGUCGAAUGGCAGCAAUCACAAUUUAGUUUUUGUCCAAUAUAUUUUUGACAAAAACGAACAUGAAAUA